rnacentral:rRNA from 1 species
AGCGAACGCUGGCGGCAGGCUUAACACAUGCAAGUCGAACGCCCCGCAAGGGGAGUGGCAGACGGGUGAGUAACACGUGGGAACGUACCCUUUGGUUCGGAAUAACUUGGGGAAACUCAAGCUAAUACCGGAUAAGCCCUUAUGGGGAAAGGUUUACUGCCGAAGGAUCGGCCCGCGUCUGAUUAGCUAGUUGGUGAGGUAAUGGCUCACCAAGGCGACGAGAAGUAGCUGGUCUGAGAGUAGGAUCAGCCACACUGGGACUGAGACACGGCCCAGACUCCUACGGGAGGCAGCAGUGGGGAAUAUUGGACAAUGGGGGCAACCUUGAUCCAGCCAUGCCGCGUGAGUGAUGAAGGCCUUAGGGUUGUAAAGCUCUUUUACCCGGGACGAUAAUGACUGUACCGGGAGAAUAAGCCCCGGCUAACUUCGUGCCAGCAGCCGCAGUAA